rnacentral:rRNA from 1 species
AACGAACGCUGGCGGCAGGCCUAACACAUGCAAGUCGAACGCCGUAGCAAUACGGAGUGGCAGACGGGUGAGUAACACGUGGGAACGUACCCUUCGGUUCGGGAUAACUCAGGGAAACUUGAGCUAAUACCGGAUACGUCCGAGAGGAGAAAGAUUUAUCGCCGAGGGAUCGGCCCGCGUCUGAUUAGCUUGUUGGUGAGGUAACGGCUCACCAAGGCGACGAUCAGUAGCUGGUCNGAGAGGAUGAUCAGCCACAUUGGGACUGAGACACGGCCCAAACUCCUACGGGAGGCAGCAGUGGGGAAUAUUGGACAAUGGGCGCAAGCCUGAUCCAGCCAUGCCGCGUGAGUGAUGAAGGCCCUAGGGUUGUAAAGCUCUUUUGUGCGGGAAGAUAAUGACGGUACCGCAAGAAUAAGCCCCGCUAACUUCGUGCCAGCAGCCGCUGUAAG